rnacentral:tRNA from 1 species
GGGGGCGAUCUUCGGGGGAGGUGAAAUCGCCGCUUCCAAACUGGCUACGCGGGUUCGAUUCCCGUCGCCCGCUCCA